GCCAGUGUAGCAUAGUGGUUAAGGCGCAGGACUCGUAAUCGAAAGAUUGCCGGUUCGAUCCCCCGCUGGACA